rnacentral:rRNA from 1 species
UACGUAGGGAGCGAGCGUUGUCCGGAUUCAUUGGGCGUAAAGAGCUCGUAGGCGGCUUGGUAAGUCGGAUGUGAAACCUCCAGGCUCAACCUGGAGUCGCCAUCCGAUACUGCCAUGGCUAGAGUCCGGUAGGGGCCCACGGAAUUCCUGGUGUAGCGGUGAAAUGCGCAGAUAUCAGGAGGAACACCGGUGGCGAAGGCGGGGUCUCUGGGCAACAACUGACGCUGAGGAGCGAAAGCGUGGGGAGCGAACAGG